rnacentral:rRNA from 1 species
AUGGAUGCUCAUGUUGCGGAACUGAUGAAACCUGAAAAGUUUGCCGGUGACAACUUCAAGAGAUGGCAGUCCAAGGUGCGUCACUACCUCCUGUCCAAGGGCCUGUGGUGGAUUAUCCCACAGGUUAGGCCGCUGACUCGUCAGCAGGUAAUGGACUUUGAGUUAGCAAACGACACUGUUGUGGCUAUCAUCUUGUCGCUCCUUGAGAACCAGCUCUAUGAUGUAUACCAUGGGUACACCUCUGCAAUAGAGCUUUGGGAGGCGCUGGAUCGCAAGUACGCGGUCUCUGACGUAGGGCGAUGGAUUUAUGUGGUUGAACAGUACCACGAUUUCCGCAUGGUGGACGGCGUCUCCGUCGUCAAGCAAGCUCAUGAUCUUACAUCGAUUGUGAGUGAGUUGGCUCAGUUUGAUGUGAACGUCAAUGCCAAGUUUGUGGUGGGGGGCAUCAUUGCCAAACUCCCUCCUUCAUGA